CUGAUGUGCUCCCCGGACACUGUCCUGACGAGAGCUGACACGGUUAUAUUAAAGCCCAAAUUAAACCUCUUCUGGAUCAAUAUUACAGGAGGAGAAGAGGUAACUGGAAUGACUGCAGAAAUGCUGACACCUCACCGUUUCCUAUUGUCCAUAAACAGACACAGAAUUUGAAGAACUUUUAGAGCCAAAGGUUAAUCACAACAAGGGAUCAGUUUCCAUCUCCCAGAAACAAAUCUGUGCAAGAAAUCUGAUGACAUGUUCCUGGAUUGACCGUAAAAACCAUUUUCCCAAAUAACAUCAGCUAACUCUCUGGAUUCUAUCCUUGGGACUAUCCCCAAAUUCAUUGGGGAAAUCAUUGUAUUAAAUCAGUUCAUUUUUACCAGGGUAUGAUACAAUUUGCAAAGCUAUGUCAUAAAACCACAAAAUUAGCGUGGAUGAAAAUACUAUUAAUUAGAGAUAAGCAUUUGUCCAAGAAC
rnacentral:lncRNA from 1 species